GCAUAGUGCUGCAGAUGACCUCUAAAUUUAAGCUGGAAGACGUGGUCAUCCAGCUUCACGGCGCCGAAGUGGAAAAAUGGGGAAAGGGGGGGUUUGAAGGACGAGCGCUGAAGCUAUGAGAGAAGGAUGGAGAAAGAAGAGAGGGAAGAUUAAUCAGCUAUAUGAGGAAGUUAAUGGAGUGAAACAUAAGUGGAGGAGUUGGCAGCACGUGCAGAGGAGGCGAGGCGGAUGGGGGGCAUACCUGGGAGAAAGAAAACUGGCAGAGGAGAAAAUAAGCUAAAUGUCCUCCGCAGAGGAGUAAACGGUUGCGUAGGCUGUAUGAGGAGAAGACGUCCAGGCACAGAAGACUAGAGCGACGGAUCUUAUUUUCAUCCACCUCUCAGCAUUACUCCUCCAUCCACCUCUCUCUCUCUCUCUCUCUCUGCCUCCAUCCCCCAGCUCUGAGAAUCAACUCAGUGGCAGGGGGACACUGAUGGGGCUUAAACCCAAACUAAGGUGAAAGGAGAUGGUAGGGACAGAUCAGGUGAGUCCCAGGCUCGGUGAAGCAUUUGGGGAUAGGCCAGCUGUGGGAUGCGCUGUCUCCUACUGUCUGGAAGGUGGCUGUCAUGGAGGAUGAGUGAACAUCUGGGAAGUAGAACCUUCUGACUUUGACCUGUGAUUACUUUUGAACUUUUAAGUUUCUUGUUAUUUAUUUGGUAUGAGGGUUAUGUCCUGCAGAUCAAAGUCAGAUCAAAAGGUUCUAGUUUUGCCUAGUUUGGCAGAACCAGAAGGCUUUUGCAUGAAAGACAACAAAUACUGUAUCUGAAAGUUUAGUAUUUUAUAGCCACUCAUACUACCAGAAAAAUAAAACAUCAUAAAAGUUGCACAACUGUUUAUUAUCAGUUAUUGAGACCAUUUAGUCUCAUUGAGUCAGUGCCAGUCGUAAUACUGUGCAGCAUUUACAUUUGUGAAAAUGUUUUCUAAGAUUUUGAGCACAAAAAAGAAGAAAAAAUACACCAUCAGUUUGUACUGCAACACAAGUUGGUGUUACAAAACUCAGCAAAUCCCACCACAAUGAAAUAAAAACAACAAAACAAAAAA